GGAAGUGCUUGCACUUCGCUGACGACCGGCGCACGGGUGAGUAUCGCGUAUACAAUCUACCUCAUACUAGGGGAUAGCCCGAAGAAAUUUGGAUUAAUACCCUAUAGUAUCUUUAAAAGGCAUCUUUUUUAGAUUAAAGGUUACGGUAUGAGAUGAGUAUGCGUUCUAUUAGCUCGUAGGUGUGGUAACGGCACACCUAGGCUACGAUAGAUAGGGGCCCUGAGAGGGGGAUCCCCCACACUGGUACUGAGACACGGACCAGACUCCUACGGGAGGCAGCAGUAAGGAAUAUUGGUCAAUGGACGAAAGUCUGAACCAGCCAUGCCGCGUGCAGGAUGACUGCCCUAUGGGUUGUAAACUGCUUUUAUAUAGGAAGAAAAACUUUCUCGUGAGAAAGCUUGACGGUACUAUAAGAAUAAGGAUCGGCUAACUCCGUGCCAGCAGCCGCGGUAAUACGGAGGAUCCAAGCGUUAUCCGGAAUUAUUGGGUUUAAAGGGUCCGUAGGUGGAUAAAUAAGUCAGAGGUGAAAUCCUGCAGCUUAACUGUAGAACUGCCUUUGAUACUGUUUAUCUUGAGUUAUUAUGAAGUGGUUAGAAUGUGUAGUGUAGCGGUGAAAUGCAUAGAUAUUACACAGAAUACCAAUUGCGAA
rnacentral:rRNA from 1 species